CCCGGUACCAAAAAAGAAAAUCAGUCUAACUCUCUUCCAUCUUUUUGUCCUCAGUAUCAUCUGAGAUCGACAGCUCGGCCUGAACUCUACCUUCUCACACUGGAUGCUGACCACCUGCAUCUAGAUGACUUGCGGCUUGGGGGACUAUAGGACAGCCAUGGCGAACCUGUUAGAGCUUUCAGUGAUACAAACAGCCUGCUGUGGCACACGUGCCACAGGUUCACCACCCCUGCUAUAGGAGAACCACAUUCUCUGAGCCUCUUGUGCCAAGUGUCUGUCAACGUAUUUCUGUUGGUUGAAAGUUGCAUUUGUCAUCAGUUUUAAUACCGGAGAAUGUUGGAGUAAGAAAUAGGAAUAUCCUGUUUGACAACUUAUAAAAGUUUUGGAGUUGAACCCAGUGCUUUGGCUUGCUAGACAAGUAUUCUACCCUGACCUAUAUCCCAGCUUUUUUUAUUUAUUGAGAAAAGGUCUCACCAAGUUACCCAAGAGGGCCUCAAACUUACAAUCCUCCUGCCUCAGCCUCCUCAGUAGUUGGAAUUACAGGUCUGUACAACUACAUCUGGCAGCAUGUAGAUAUUAAAACAGUCAAUCUAAAGAGUAACCUAGGUGUAUUUAUUUAAUUCCUGGGAUUCAACACUGUGGAGUCAAUUUAUAAAGGAAAAGUGUGUUCCAACCAUGUAUACCCAGAAUUUCAGGAGAAGUACAGUUAAAUGAGUGUUACUGAACAGCUGCUGCUAUGUAACUUUAUGUCUUCCUGAUAUAAAAGACAAGCACAGUGUAUCCAAACUUUAUUAAAUAGUUUAAUUUACAAAUAUGACAUUAGAGAUCAGAGUAGCCAAUGAAGGUAGCCUUUUAUAUUACAUUAAGCCAUGAAACCUUUGCCUACAAAGUAUUUUGCAAAUUUAGG